rnacentral:lncRNA from 1 species
UUUGAGGUGUUUCUUAGCGUGAGAUUUUUGUGGGUAUUUCUUAUCAUAGCAUCUAAAACAGUAAACUUUUCCAACAACCUUGACCACAAAGUGAUGAUGUGGAGGAUAAUAGUGAGUAGGUGGUGGUGGGGAAGUGUAGUAAUAUGGAGGAGGAGAUGAUUUCUUUGGUGGUGGUGGUGAAGUGUAGUAAUAUGGUGAUGGAGGAGAUUUCUUGGGUGGUGGAGGAGAGCUAUAGUAGUAUGGUGGAGGUGGUGACUUAACUGGUGGUGGUGGAGAAGUGUAGUGAUAUGGUGGAGGAGGUGAUUUCUUGGGUGGUGGAGGAGAGUUGUAGUAGUAUGGUGGAGGAGGUGACUUAACCGGCGGUGGUGGAGAAGUGUAGUGAUAUGGUGGAGGAGGUGAUUUCUUGGGUGGUGGAGGAGAGUUGUAGUAGUAUGGUGGAGGAGGUGACUUAACCGGCGGUGAUGGAUAAGUGUAGUAGUAGUAUGGUGGAGGAGGUGACUUAACCGGCGGUGAUGGAUAAGUGUAGUGAUAUGGUGGAGGAGGUGAUUUCUUGGGUGGUGGAGGAGAGCUAUAGUAGUAUGGUGGAGGAGGUGACUUAACCGGCGGUGGUGGAGAAGUGUAGUGAUACGGUGGAGGAGGUGAUUUCUUUGGUGGUGGAGGAGAGCUAUAGUAGUAUGGUGGGGGAGGUGACUUAGCCGGCGGUGGUGGAGAGUUGUAGUAGUAAGGUAGAGGAGGAGACUUCUUUGGGGGUGGUGGAGAGGUGUAGUGAUACGGUGGAGGGGGUGAUUUCUUUGGUGGUGGUGGCGAGGAGUAAUAGUAUGGUGGAGGAGGUGACUUCUUGGGUGGGGGUGGAGAGCUGUAGUGGUAAGGUGGAGGUGGUGACGACUUAGGGGGAGGUGGAGAUUUAUAGUAGUAAGGUGGUGGAGGUGAUGGUGAUGGUGGUGGAGGAGAUUUAUAGUAGUAUGGUGGCGGUGGUGAAGGUGAUGGUGGAGGAGGAGACUUGUAGUAAUACACUGGAGGUGGUGACGGUGAUGGUGGAGGAGGUGAUUUGUAGUAGUAAGUUGGCGGAGCAGAGGGCGAUGGAGGUGGUGGAGACUUAUAUACAUAUGGUGGUGGCGGAGAUGGUGAAGGAGGAGGUGGUGAUUUGUACACAUAAGGUGGUGGGGGAGAAGGCAAAGGAGGUGGUGGUGACUUGUACUCGUACGUCGGAGGAGGUGGAGAAGAAUAUACAUAAGGGUCUGCAGACACUACAUUUGCAACAACCAAUAUGGCCAAUGC